UUGAUAGAGUUUUCUUUUCAUGGUUUUUUGAGGGAACAUUUUACUUGUAGUGAUAAGUCAUCAACUGUCUUGGAAUACAGUUUUAUUUUGUUACAUAAAGCUAAUUUCUGUGGGGUAAGAAAAUGGAAACAUUUUGUGUAUCAUAUCGUGAGUAGAAUGGUCUUUAUGUUAUAUAUAUUUACCUAAUGAAUAUGAUACUGUUAUCCCACAGUGGCUGUGUGCAGGUGUUUUGUGUUUGUGCUGUGUUUCUCUCAGCCUACUGGGUGUGUCUGGUACACCCAUAACAGGUGUUUCUCUUUGAGCCCAAUCACUGGGACUUCUUGAGGAGCAGGAACCUGGAGGGAGGUGUCAGCCUAUUGUCUCUGCCAGCAUGGGUCCUGGAUUCCAAGCUCCUGUUUUCUGUAUCCAUGCUCUGGGAAGGUCUGGAAAAGACUCCCUGAUGCUCCAACCGUGAGCCUCCCUUCUUCUCCUGCCUCCAGCCCUGCAGCUCUGAGAUCACUUCAUGGAAACACCAAACUAUUGCUCACAUGCCUGUCCACCCUCCAACACUGCGUGCUCAGCUGAAGCACUGCCGCUUAAGGAUCACAAAGAAAGAACGUCAUCACUGUGAAUCUCCGUGCUACUCACCCUGCCAAACUCAGCCUCUGUUUGGCAGAUUUAGCACCUCCAACAAGCCAUCAUCUACCACCAACAUUUUCGGAGCAGCGGAGCUCUGCUUACAGGCUGGUCUGGCUGCUAAGGGAACCAGGCAGCUGGACCGGGACUUCUCCACUAACCGUUGCCUGUUUUCGACCCAGCACUCUGGGAUUUCCCGCUUCCUGUUAUCUGUUUGUGCCGGCAAAAACUGAAUAUAGUGUUUCGUAUAGAUAUGUGGUGAAUUACUGCAAGUACCAGAACAUAAAACGAAAUAUUUUUUGCCGGAACUUUGUGACAUUUUAAGUUAUUGUUGGUAUUAAUUAUAAACUGUUGCGCCACAAAUAUUUUAAUGCAGUGCUGAUGAUCAAAACACUUUAAAUUUUCCAUGUACAUAAAAAAUACACAUUUACCUAAGACUGACUUUUUAUGUCAACUUAAUUUAGGGGAAUAUGAAAUCUUUAAUAUUUUAAAUUUUUCAUUGUUUUAUGCAGACUGCUCUGCAGGAAGAGAGACCACAGUUCCAAGUUUGGAUGUAGUCUCCUAGAAGCUCUGUGAUCCUGCAAUCCUCUGCUCUACUCUCUAUGCAUCUUCUACUUUAUAUCAAUAUUUGCUUAUGAUUAGACAGUCAAGAUAUUAAUUCUCUGUAAUUCUGGACUGAUUAUCAGUUUUUUAUUCUAAUAAAUACAAUUUUUACUAAAAACAUGUUCUGUAUGACUUUACCUGAUGAUUAUAAAAUAAAAAUAAGUGUGUUAAUCAGUCCCUAGUAGUUAUUGUAAAUUAAUCAUGCAGUUGUAAAGCAACAACUCUUGCCAGAUGCAGGUUGGUAUAAAAUUAAAUGUAAAAUAAUGAUUUAAACUUUUCCUGCUUAUGGAUCCAGCACAACCUAAGGAACAAUGGAAGUCUUCAAUCAACUGUACAGCUCUAAAGCUGCUCAUCAUCUAUUAUUUAUCAGUUGACACAAAAAAAUCAUGUAUUAGCUUUCAAAAGGAGUGUUGCCGAUCCACCAUCAACCUUAUAGCAUUUACAUAGGUGCAUUCACCUGUCA